rnacentral:lncRNA from 1 species
UGGAAUCUGCUCCUUGGGGCCCACUGUUUGUGGAAUGGAGUCCUUGCUGUGUCUACCCAACCCUACUCCACUCACCUCUCUCCUAUGUCAACUUACUGCCCUCAUCCCUGGCCUCCACUCAUUCUCUUCCUACCCUUUGCCCCUGCUGUUCUCUCUGAACAAAGUUCAGCUCCCUCGUUCCCUGGGUGCUCUAGGGUUAGGGACAAGUUCUUAUUUGCUUACAUGUUCCUCCCACAAGGCCUGGGAGGCCAGCUCUGCAUUUCCUAGCUUGCAGCAGGGGAAAAAUCUGUGAUUGACCUGGCUGAGACCUUCGCCCCAUACGGUCUUUGGUGGCUCAGAUGAACCAAUCCCAGUGCCUUCUAACAGUUGGAGAGUAAGAAGGAUCCUGGAGCGGGGGAACUUCUGACAGCUCCUGCUCAUCCCCGGAGAAGACAGAAGCCCAUCACCUGGUACACUUCAGAGGAACACGCACCUGACAGCCAAGGAGAACUGGGCAGUAGUCCUCGGAUGUUGGGCGUCAUUUUCCGUGGGCAGUUGGGAGUCACUGUGCUUCUCCCACAAAAACUCUUCUCACAGUCCAACUUGUAUACAAACCCAUCAGACUGCUAGCCCCAGGGCAGGUACCUACCUAUCUUCCUGUCCCAGUACUGAGGGGCUCAAUAACUAUUGUUAACCUGAAGACACCGAAAACCUUGACAGCGCUGAGCUUGUUACAGCACCAUCUUGCUGUGUGUCCAUGUGCAGGUGCAACUGUACGUGAGAUCAGCGGCCAACCACCACCCUUUCCCAGGCCACACUCCAUCAGCAAGAGACUAUGCUACACCCCAAGACGAGAUGCAGCCAAUAAACAUGUCUAUGUAUUGACCUGAAAAA